UACGUAGGGUGCGAGCGUUGUCCGGAAUUAUUGGGCGUAAAGGGCUCGUAGGCGGUCUGUCGCGUCAGGAGUGAAAACUCGGGGCUCAACCCCGAGCCUGCUUCUGAUACGGGCAGACUAGAGGUAUGCAGGGGAGAACGGAAUUCCUGGUGUAGCGGUGAAAUGCGCAGAUAUCAGGAGGAACACCGGUGGCGAAGGCGGUUCUCUGGGCAUUACCUGACGCUGAGGAGCGAAAGUGUGGGGAGCGAACAGG
rnacentral:rRNA from 1 species